AUUGAACGCUGGCGGCAGGCCUAACACAUGCAAGUCGAGCGGAUGACGGGAGCUUGCUCCUUGAUUCAGCGGCGGACGGGUGAGUAAUGCCUAGGAAUCUGCCUGGUAGUGGGGGACAACGUUUCGAAAGGAACGCUAAUACCGCAUACGUCCUACGGGAGAAAGCAGGGGACCUUCGGGCCUUGCGCUAUCAGAUGAGCCUAGGUCGGAUUAGCUAGUUGGUGGGGUAAUGGCUCACCAAGGCGACGAUCCGUAACUGGUCUGAGAGGAUGAUCAGUCACACGGGAACUGAGACACGGUCCAGACUCCUACGGGAGGCAGCAGUGGGGAAUAUUGGACAAUGGGCGAAAGCCUGAUCCAGCCAUGCCGCGUGUGUGAAGAAGGUCUUCGGAUUGUAAAGCACUUUAAGUUGGGAGGAAGGGCAGUAAGCUAACACCUUGCUGUUUUGACGUUACCGACAGAAUAAGCACCGGCUAACUCUGUGCCAGCCGCCGCCGUAA
rnacentral:rRNA from 1 species